UAGAGUUAUUUCAUCGGUUUCUCAUUUUAUACAUGCAAGUCUCACCACCCCCUUUGAGAACUCCCUUUUAACCUACACCAGGAAAAGGAGCUGGCUUCAGGCACUAUCCCUGCCCAUAACACCUAGUCUCACCACACCCCCAAGGGUAAUCAGCAGGGAUAAAUCUUAAAUAUAAGCAACUGCUUGUUUUAUUUAGAAAAAAGAGGGCCGGCUAACCCGGUGCCACCCGCCGGGGCUACCCCGUGGGGCCCGAGCUGAUAGUCACCGGCGUUAAGCGUGAUUAAACCCCUCACCAAUUAGGGUUAAAUUAAUAUUUAGUAGUGAUAAGCUUGUUAUUAAAAAAACCAUAAACGAAAGUUACCCUAAUUACACUUGAAUCCACGACAACUGGGAAAACAAACUGGGAUUAGAUAC
rnacentral:rRNA from 1 species